UACGUAGGGUGCGAGCGUUAAUCGGAAUUACUGGGCGUAAAGCGUGCGCAGGCUGUUCUGUAAGUCAGAUGUGAAAUCCCCGAGCUCAACUUGGGAACUGCGUUUGAAACUACAGGACUAGAAUAUGUCAGAGGGGGGUAGAAUUCUACGUGUAGCAGUGAAAUGCGUAGAGAUGUGGAGGAAUACCAAUGGCGAAGGCAGCCCCCUGGGAUAAUAUUGACGGCUCAUGCACGAAAGCGUGGGGAGCAAACAGG
rnacentral:rRNA from 1 species